GGCCUAACACAUGCAAGUCGAACGAUACUUCGGGUCUAGUGGCGCACGGGUGCGUCACGCGUGGGAAUCUGCCCUUGGGUUCGGAAUAACAGCGAGAAAUUGCUGCUAAUACCGGAUGAUGACGUAAGUCCAAAGAUUUAUCGCCCAGGGAUGAGCCCGCGUAGGAUUAGCUAGUUGGUGGGGUAAAGGCCUACCAAGGCGACGAUCCUUAGCUGGUCUGAGAGGAUGAUCAGCCACACUGGGACUGAGACACGGCCCAGACUCCUACGGGAGGCAGCAGUGGGGAAUAUUGGACAAUGGGCGCAAGCCUGAUCCAGCCAUGCCGCGUGAGUGAUGACGGCCCUAGGGUUGUAAAGCUCUUUUACCUGGGAAGAUAAUGACGGUACCAGGAGAAUAAGCCCCGGCUAACUUCGUGCCAGCAGCCGCGGUAAU
rnacentral:rRNA from 1 species